GCCCCUGUAGCUCAGUCGGCCAGAGCAGCUGUCUUGUAAACAGCAGGUCGCCGGUUCGAAUCCGGCCGGGGGCU
rnacentral:tRNA from 1 species